UUACUAACGCCAUAUCACUUAGGACCAUACGGAUUUGCUAAUGCAAAACUCUUUGUGUUUAGAUCAAGUACAGUCGGAAGCCAGGAUGGGGAAGAGUUGUGCAUGUCAGUACCCAUGUGAAGAGACAUCGUAUGACAUACAAGUAUCAUCCAUGGUGCUGCCAUCAAAUGCCACGUUCCCAAUUACUUUACUGAAUGCGGCAUAUACCCCUGACAAGAUAAGACAAAAUUACCUGGUUCUACAAAUCAGCCUUGCCAGCAUGGUAGUUGAAAGGACCGAGCACAUACCAGAACUGGAGCUGAAUGAUAUAUUUGCCAAUAUUGGUGGCCAGAUUGGACUGUUUCUUGGGGCCAGCAUACUCACCAUCGUCGAACUCUUGGAACUAGUGGCCGCAUGUUUGCUGGCAAGCCUGACGACCCUUUGGGCCAGACGUAAACGUGAUGGUUGAGGAAGAACAUGGACCACGAUUGCUCCAGUCUCGAGGAAGCUGAUCCCUGCUGUGUUGAAUUGUAGAUAUUCAUGUUCCAUUGAAUACAUAUGUCG